UACGAAGGGGCGAGCGUUGUUCGGAAUCACUGGCGUAAGGCGCGUAGGCGGCCCUCUUAGUCGCGUGUGAAAGCCCCGGGCUCAACCUGGGAACGGCGCGCGAAACGGGAGGGCUGGAGUUCGGGAGAGGAGAGUGGAAUUCCCAGUGUAGAGGUGAAAUUCGUAGAUAUUGGGAAGAACACCGGUGGCGAAGGCGGGUCUCUGGCCGAUACUGACGCUGAGGAGCGAAAGCGUGGGAGCGAACAGG
rnacentral:rRNA from 1 species